UACGUAGGGGGCUAGCGUUGUCCGGAAUCAUUGGGCGUAAAGCGCGUGUAGGCGGCCAGGUAGGUCGGUUGUGAAAACUGGAGGCUCAACCUUCAGAGGUCGACCGAAACCAUCUGGCUAGAGUCCGGGAGAGGAGAGUGGAAUUCCUGGUGUAGCGGUGAAAUGCGCAGAUAUCUGGAGGAACACCGGUGGCGAAGGCGACAUCCUGGACCGGUAUUGGACGCUGAGGCGCGAAAGCCAGGGGAGCAAACGGG
rnacentral:rRNA from 1 species